rnacentral:rRNA from 1 species
UGGGGAAUAUUGGACAAUGGACCAAAAGUCUGAUCCAGCAAUUCUGUGUGCACGAUGACGUUUUUCGGAAUGUAAAGUGCUUUCAGUUGGGAAGAAAAAAAUGACAAAUANCAACAGAAGAAGNGAAGAAGGGGGGGAUAAAUACGUCCCCCCCCCCGCGGUAAUAUUUUUUUCCCAAGCGUUCUCCGGAUUUUUUGGGCGUAAAGCGCGUCUAGGUGGUUAUGUAAGUUUGAUGUGACAAUGCAGGGCUCAACUCUGUAUCGCGUUGGAAACUGCAUGACUAGAGUACUGGAGAGGUAAGCGGAACUACAAGUGUAGAGGUGAAAUUCGUAGAUAUUUGUAGGAAUGCCGAUGGGGAAGCCAGCUUACUGGACAGAUACUGACGCUAAAGCGCGAAAGCGUGGGUAGCAAACAGGAUUAGAUACCCUGGUAGUCCACGCCGUAAACGAUGAUUACUAGGUGUUGGGGGUCGAACCUCAGCGCCCAAGCUAACGCGAUAAGUAAUCCGCCUGGGGAGUACGUACGCAAGUAUG